AAAAAGGGCCUCUGUUGUGAAGUGGCACACUUAGGGCAUCUCUAUUGCUCUACGUGUGGAAUCGACAUCAGGAGAUUUCAGAAGUGUAAUUUUUGCUCCCUGGGUAGCUAGUGAUUUUUGGUUCUGGCAAAGAA
ensembl:snRNA U11 spliceosomal RNA